GCUUUUAGCACCGGAGGACGCGUCGUCGGUGAUUACAGGAGCAGCCUCGCACCUACUACCAUUGAGGCUUUGAUAUGUCUACAGGAUUGGUUUAAGGCAGCCGACGCUAUGGAAAAUGACGACUAGGAAUUUGUUUUGGAGCUUUCCUUGCAUCAUAACAGUUCAGUCCCAGUUGAGUUGGAGAUGACCUUGAAGAAAUACAAGCAAAGUUCAAGAACAUCAGUUCAGCCAAACAUCAUCGAUCCGGCCACGCUGCUGUUUUGAACAAGGAUGCAAAGAUCUUGAAGAAAAUAUGUUUAUGCUUCUGUGCAAUAUUUAACAAGUCGGAUUGAAUGUAAUACUCUGUUCUGAUGAAGUAGUAUUGUACUGUAGCUAUAACUAGCCUGAAGCUUUUGUAGCUUCUUAAUGCCUGUAGCUUCUGUGUCAAGAAUGUAUAUGGAACUGGAGUGCUCCAGCUCAUGGCUUUGCUUCUAGCCUGCAGCGUCUGCUGUGGGCACAGUUAGAACAACAAUAUGUAUUCCAAAUGUUAAUAUUUUUUCUCCUUUUGGUUUCUUUGGAUGGGAGCUGACUAUUUGGUGUUCUAUAAUAAAAUGUAUUGGUGCUAAAAUGUUAA